UUAAAUUGAAGAGUUUGAUCAUGGCUCAGAUUGAACGCUGGCGGCAGGCCUAACACAUGCAAGUCGAACGGUAACAGGAAGCAGCUUGCUGCUUCGCUGACGAGUGGCGGACGGGUGAGUAAUGUCUGGGAAACUGCCUGAUGGAGGGGGAUAACUACUGGAAACGGUAGCUAAUACCGCAUAACGUCGCAAGACCAAAGAGGGGGACCUUCGGGCCUCUUGCCAUCGGAUGUGCCCAGAUGGGAUUAGCUUGUUGGUGGGGUAACGGCUCACCAAGGCGACGAUCCCUAGCUGGUCUGAGAGGAUGACCAGCCACACUGGAACUGAGACA
rnacentral:rRNA from 1 species